UCAGGCAUACUUAUCCGUUUUAAGCUUUGUUUUCCAAUGUUAUGAAGCCUGAAGAAGGUAAUUAGUAUUUAUUCAAUUCAAUAGUCUUUAAAUGGCCUUCACACGAAUAUUGCGUCACUUUCACUUCUGCAGUAAUCAAAGUACUGAAAGUACCGAAAGGAUGUUGGUGAAUAUCAUCAUUGUUAUGAGUCAUUUGCAGUUUGGUAUCGUUUCAUUUGUUUGCUUGUCUAUGGGAACAUUUUAAGAAAAUGCAUAAAGGCAUACACGAAGAAUAUUUUAACAAUUUUUUUAAGGGGGGGGGGGUGUCUGGAACUGAGGAUACUUAAUGGUUAACCAUGGGAACUGUUGUUGUCCACCUGGUCAAUGACUAUAAAAAAUACAAUUUUAGAGUUUUUUGAAUGAGAUUUUUGUCUCAGGGCGACAAAGGUUCUAGCACAAGAAGCUGUAGAAUUUGGUUUCAUAAAUUGUAGAGUAAAACAGCAAUAAUUAAUCAUUCAUAUGCCUUAGAAUAGAAAUGCUGGGUUCAGCCACAAAAAAGUAGCAAAUUAUAUUAGUACAAGGCGUAUGAGUCGCAUAAGGGUAAGAAGCCGUUACUACUAUCUCAGGAUGUCUUUAGAUUCAUACUGGUCCUUUAAAAAUGAAACUAAACUUCACAAAUUGUUGAGAAAUCAAUCAACCUGCUCAGAUUGAGUUUGCGUUAGCUUCCUAGAAUUGACUGGGAUGCAAAUAAAAGCUUGUAAAUAAGCAUUUAAAUAGAAAUAUUAAUCAUUUCAAUUUCUAAUAGGACUACAUUCUCUACCCUUAAAUGUCGUAAUACUCUCAUUACUGACAUAUUAAAGCAUUUUAUUGUCAAAAAGCAUUGCCCAGGAGAAACAAAAUUCAUUAACUAAGCAGUUCUUAAUUAACAAAGAUUGCAUUGGGGGAAAGAAACUUUUAAAUAAAAAUUAAAAUAAUAGAUAUUAAAUACUGGGGUGGAAAGAUGUACGAAAACAGUAGAAAUAGAAUGACAAUUAAAAAAAAAUUAAUAAAUAAAAAAUAAUUAAAAAAUAGAUAAAUAAAAAAAAAUAGAAAAAAAUAAUAAAUAAAAUAAAAUAAAAUAUUUUCAAUUAAUUCUUUUAAUUAAUUUAAAUGAAGGGAAAUAAUUCUUACCAAAAUUUAAGGUCAUACAUUAGGACACAUUCCGCCCUUACAUGCUAAUGGUAAUAAAUGAGAGUUAUGACGAAAUAAGUAUUUAACAGUAACACAUCUGUAAUCUAUUCAAUGUCACACACCUACAACAUACUCCAGACUCUAUAUUCUCAGAUAUUUAACUUUAUUUCAUCAUUCAAAAUUGUUGUACAUUGACCAAUCCAUUUUCAUUAACACAUAGGUAUGUCCAUUGCCCACCAACUUAUCUGAACUAUUUUGCAUCUGUGAAUGAUGGUAUAUGAAGCAUUGUAGAAGGAAGUGUCAAGUAACAUAAACCAACUAAAAAGCCAAGUAAAGACAUAUAUUUGCUUGCUUAUUGUCAUGAAUUACAACCUGUUUCAGAGUACAUAAUCCUCAAAAUUCAAUUGCCAAAAUUUAAUGUAGAGUAUUUUAUAUUGUAGUUUUGCACCAAAACAAAAAAAUCAACAGAUUGAUCUUGAGUCUGCAUCACAAAAUUCCUUAAUUUUUUUAAUAAUCAUAAUAACUCUUAAAUGAUUUUAUUAUGCCGAUUUGUAUUGGAUAUGAUAAUAUCUAAGGUUUGUAAGGUAACAUAAUUGAUAAGGCACAUGUUUUAUCAUGAUUGAUCAAAAUAAGUUUUACAAAGCAGUCUUUGGGACAGUAUACCCUAAUUUUAGAAAUAUCAAGUUUUACCAAAAUUCUUGGCAAAUUUUAAAAAUAAAAAUAUAUAAAGAAUCAUGCUAUCUUGAAAUGAAUUAUACAUGUAUCUAAAGUAAAUUUAUAUUAAAAUAAAAGCAAUUCCUUUUUAGCGUUAAGGCAUUUAAGAAUUGUGUGAAUCACUCUGUAUGUCAGCAUACAAUGACCUAGCUUGAGGUAAUCAAACCUGCAGAUGGCAAAUAUUAAAUUCCGCAUGAAUAUAACAAUAUACCGAAUUCCAUAAGCUCAACAAUCUCAAGUAAACAUAACAAAGACAUGCAUUAAAUAAUUUAAGCCAGAUUCGUUUAAGUUAGGAUCUACCUUAAUUACCAAAUAUACAUUUACUAGGUUUAAUGUACAUUGAUACACUGAUAAGAGAGAUAACUCUUAAUGACACAAAUGUCUAUUAUUCCUUUAUAAAUUUUUCAAGUUAAAGAGCCUUUUUUGUCAAAUUUUGCCCGGCAAAACAUGCUUUAAUUGUUUGUAUUUAAUUCAGCAUAUACAUUUCCUUUGGAAAAUCAUAAAAGUUAAAAGAAAAAUUUGAUAUGAAUAAGCAGAAGGUUUAUGAACGUUAACGUUAAGGGCGUAAGCUUGAUAUAAAUUACUAUUACCAUUUUUCUGAGAUAAAACUAUUCUCUUCGAACCAUUUUUUUUGGUCAACAUUCUUACAAUUCUUGUUUUUGUUUUAUUUAACUGAGUUAAAUUGUCCUGUUGACAAGAUGCAAUAUAAAUCUAUAAGAUACGGUUCCUUUAAUUGAAGAUUUAUAUGAGAGGUUGAAUGGGACGAUCGGUUCAACUCCCUUUUAACAGAAAUUGCGGGUGGGUUUAGACAGUAUUGGAUACUUUAAAAAAUAUAUUUGUCAUUUUUGUAGGAUACAUAUUAAAUCUUGCUCACUUCAAUUAAGGUAGCAAAUACUACACAUUUCCCAUCAGAAUGCAACAGGGGAGGACGAGGUUACUUGUAUUAUUAUAAUUUUGAAAAUUGCUGCCUUUCAAAAGCAUUUCGUUUAUACAUUGUACAUUAGUAAAUGUAUUACCAUGUGUUCACCUAUUUUUACACUCUUUUCUGGUAUUCUAAUUUUUUCCCUAUUACUAAUCGAUUGUUGGUUCAUAAAUUGUGAAGUACUAAAGAAGGGUUUGAAUUUAUAUAGAUAAGUAUAUUAAGGGAUCGGUGGGGGGGGGGGGGGGAUAAGGACACACAUUGUUAUUGUUAAAAGUUGUUAUAAGUAUCUUAGUACUUUAAGCUAAGAGUUCUAUAUUACUUUGUCACGCAAGGAAACUUGGUAAGAUGUGUAUUAAUGAUUUAAAAGCCAUAUAAAGAGUGACAGCCUUUUAGGUAAAUUAUACAAGUAACCAACGGAAAAAUACAGUGUCGUUUAGUAUCAACAAUGUUAGAGAAAAUAGACGUUGUUUUAUACGGACACGUCAUUGGCUCCGUUUGUAAAACUUGUGUAAUCACUUAUUCUGUAAAUUUUUAUUGGUGAAUGAGCAGGCCCUGUUCGACGGUGACCAUUUGCGUUGAGGUACUGCCGCCGUCACCAUGGUUCUUGGCACCCCAUUGGUGGCGGUUGCAGUUCCAUGAUUACUCGUAGUAGACACGAGUAGUCAUGGCCCUUGCAAGUGGCGUAUUCCGUCGCACCUCAACGCAACUGGACGAGUGCAACACAUAUUCUUACGCUCAUUCCAUUGUUUAUUGACUUGAUUGAUAUUUGAAUUGAUUGAUUGAUUAAUAAUUGAUUGAUUGACAAGUAAUUGACUUGAUUGAUAUUUGAAUUGAUUGAUUGACUGAUUGAUUAAUAAUUGAUUGAUUGAAUUUGAUUGAUUAUUGCAUUGGUGACGUUCAUGCACUUGUGACCUACCCAGUGCAUGAUCCGCCCGAUUUGGGUCGUCACAUUUGUUUUAUUGAUUGUUGAUUGUGGGGCAGCCCUGUGGUAGCCCCAGUAAAUUGAUCACCGCGGCCAGAAGC